rnacentral:rRNA from 1 species
GAUGAACGCUGGCGGCGUGCCUAAUACAUGCAAGUCGAGCGAACGGACGAGAAGCUUGCGUCUCUGAUGUUAGCGGCGGAGGGGUGAGUAACACGUGUAUCACCUACCUGUAAGACUGAUAAAUUUACGGGACACCGGAGCAAAUACCGGAUGAUAUUUUGAACCGCGUGGUUCAAAGGUGAGAUACGGUCUUGCUGUCAGUUAUAGAUGGUUCCGCGCUGUAUUGGCUGGUUGGGAAGGUAACGGCUUACCAAGGCAACGAUGCAUAGCCGACCUGAGAGGGUGAUCGGCCACACUGGAACUGAGCCAGCGUCCAGACUCCUGCGGGAGGCAGCAGUAGGCAAUGUUACGCAAUGGGCGGAAGCCUGACGGAGCAACGCCGCGUGAGUGGUGAAGGUCUUCGGAUCGUAAAAAUCUGUUAUUAGGGAAAAACAGAUGUGUAAGUAACUGUGCACAUCUUGACGGUACCUAAUAAGAAAGCCACGGCUAACUACGUG